GGAGCAAGGUCUUCAGCGGAGCACGGAGGCAGAACUACAUCCUCAGUGGAGCAAGAUGGCAGAGUGAUGUCCUCAACCGAGCAGUAAGGUGGAGUGAUAUCUGAAGUGGAGCCUGGCAUAGUGACAUCCAUAGGUGAAGCAGGGAAGAAAAGCGGAGCUCUUGGCUGCACCGGGAGGUGGAGCAACAUCUUCAGCUGAACAGGGAUGCUGGGCGGCAUCCUCAAAUGAGCAGUUAAGCUGAACAACAUUCUCUGUCGACUCAGCAGACUGGACAAGAUCCACAGUGGAGGAGGGAGUAUGGGAGAUGGUUCCAGCCUGGUUAAAAGGCUCCUCCUUGACAUACCUCAUGAUGGAGUACAUCAUGUUGAGCCACUCCUGGUUGGAUCGAAUUAAGGCCUCCGUCGUCUGAGACAAGAAUCUUCACCACCUGAAUUAUGUGUGCCCGUCGUCAUUUUUUCUUCUCUCUUUUCCUGGAGGGGAUGGAUUUGGAUCUGAACACUCACUAUCAGCUCGCGCAUCUCACUGCUGACAUCAUGGUGCUACUUAACAUUCUUCGCAGCACCCCCUCUGGAAAUGGAAAUGCGGGGUCCCGUCCCCCCCUCAGAUACAGAAUCCACCCCGUGAAUGUGUGUAUUGACGCCUCUACACAGACCAACGCUCCCUCCAGCUUUCAGUCUGAGGAUGAUGUCACCUUCUCUGAUCUGGGCUCUGACCAUUCUUCCCUCUUCUCACCUGUCAGUCCGCCAUCCUCUCAGUGGUCUCCUUAUUUCACCUUUGCUGACUAUCCCAUGUCCCCAGGACACACCCCAUUUUCUUCCCCCUACCGCUCUCCUCAAGAUUACGCACCCACCAGUCCUGUGAAUUUUCAAUAAAAUUACGUAUUACUCAUACUAGGUCUCCCUCAUGUUUAUUUCAUGUCAUUUUUAUCCACAACAUUGUACACUGGUAUUUGUUAAGG
ensembl:lncRNA